UUUGUGUUCAGGAACAUGAAUGUCUUGGAACGAAAGACCUUUCACACCUUCUGAUGUAAGUAGUGAAACAAGUCAAGGUGAUAUGAGGUGUGUUUUUGUAUUAUUAUGAAAUAUCUGUCUGUAAAGUCAUGACCUUUGUGUUGUGGUUGUGUUUAUGUGACAGUUCUCACAAAGACAGUAAUAUAACAAAGCUAGUAACAUAACUUGGGCUGCAUAGAUGGUCACUUUCAGUCUUUGAUUAAUGAAUGUUUUAAUUAACCUGUGAACUAACUCUCAUUUACUUUGACUCAGCAGAUUUUCCUCCUUGUAGGUGUGAAAAUCUGUGACCGACUAAACUGAGUCUUUUAGCUCCAGUAAAGAGAACAAUUGAUGCUACAGUUAUUCCUGUGAAUCUAAACAGAAUUCAACAAAGUGACGCUUCUGUUCUGCUCUAGCCUCAGUAGUGGGGCUAACAUUUUUAGA